UACGGAGGGGGCAAGCGUUAUUCGGAAUUAUUGGGCGUAAAGGGCGCGUAGGCGGCUAGAUGUGUCAAAGGUGAAAUCCCUCGGCUCAACUGAGGAACUGCCUUUGAAACUGUCUGGCUUGAGGCCGGGAGAGGGUAGCGGAAUUCCCAGUGUAGCGGUGAAAUGCGCAGAUAUUGGGAGGAACACCAGUGGCGAGGGCGGCUACCUGGACCGGUUCUGACGCUGAGGCGCGAAAGCGUGGGUAGCAAACAGG
rnacentral:rRNA from 1 species